rnacentral:lncRNA from 1 species
AGGAAUAUUAAGUCUCCUCUUUACACCAUCAGUUUCAGCGCGAUACUGAUCUGUCAUGGGUAAUGGUUUACCAUUUUUUAGCCACUGGCCCUCUGAUUCAGGAUUUGCCACCUCACAUUCAAAAACAGCUCUCUGGGACUCAGCUACAGUCAGGUCAGCGAGAGGCUUUGAAAUGGCGCCUCCUGCCACUAUCAGUUUUCCAGAUGUUUUCUUCCCUCCAGCAUAAAAUACAUAUUCUCCUUCAUCAUCUUUCAUCAUUUUCACCACUGUCAAUUUAUAUAUUUUGCCACGUGCUUCAAUUUUGUACUUAGGACCAGCCUUGAUCUCUUGCCCUUUGAAAUGCCAAAUUACAUCAAUCCCUGAAUGGGAGAGCUCAACCUCAAAAGAUACAUUCUGUGUUUCAGUGCAGGUGAUGUCAUGAAGACCUCUGAUAAUCUCAAUUUCUUCAACUGUGACGUUGCAACUUGUUUCGACUUUGCCAACCAUUAACUUGUAAUGUCCUUCAUCUGACGCGUGGGUCCUGGUAAUCACUAGCCUCUGUUUAGUGCCUUUACACACAGCUUGUACACGUUCGUCAGGCUUUAUCUGAUGAUCAUUUAGAUACCAUUUGGAGGAAGUUACAUCUGGUGCUGAAACUUUGCAUUCAAGGAUAGCUUUUGUUCCUUCAACUACAUGAACAUCUUUUAGAGGAACUAUUAUUUCCACACUGUACACAGUGACUUGUCCAGUGGUUGAUAGUUCAAGACCAGGAAUACUGAAAGAGUAAGUUCCACUGUCUUCUUGUGUUGCAUCUUCUAUCAACAACAUGUGUGACUGUUUAUCCAACACAAUAUGAAUCCGAUCACUUGAUUGAAUUUCAUGACCGUCUUUCAUCCAGACACCUUCCACAUUUUCUACAGAGACUUUAACUUCAAGUUGUACAAUAUCUCCCUCACAGACUUUUUGAUCAGUAAGUCCUUGAAGAAUAGUCAUGGGACGAGGCUUCAUCUUUAGUUUGCAGUGAGUCCUUUUCCCAUCAACAACAAAGCUGUACUCUCCUUGAUCAUCUUUAUUAACAUCUUUAAUAGUGAGGAUUCGGCGACCACGACGGGAUGCAAGUACAUACUUAUGAUUGGAACUGAGUUCAACAUCACCAUGAUACCAUUUUCCCUCAAUGUCUUCUGGGGAAACUUCACACUCAAGUUCACCUGUGAAGGAUUCUGGGACUUCAACAUCCUCAAGUUCUUUAAUGAACUCAACCACAGCACCUAGAAGUAAAAAUAAUUACAUUUGUGAAUGAAUUUGAUUAGAUACCCA